rnacentral:misc_RNA from 1 species
GAUGAAGAACGCAGCGAAAUGCGAUACGUAAUGUGAAUUGCAAAUUCAGUGAAUCAUCGAGUCCUUGAACGCACAUUGCGCCCCCUGGUAUUCCGGGGGGCAUGCCUGUCCGAGCGUCAUUGCUGCCCUCAAGCACGGCUUGUGUGUUGGGCCCCGUCCUCCGAUCCCGGGGGACGGGCCCGAAAGGCAGCGGCGGCACCGCGUCCGGUCCUCGAGCGUAUGGGGCUUUGUCACCCGCUCUGUAGGCCCGGCCGGCGCUUGCCGAUCAACCCAAAUUUUUUAUCCAGGUUGACCUCGGAUCAGGUAGGGAUACCCGCUGAACUUAAGCAUAUCAAUAAGCGGAGGA